GUUCGUGUGCCCGAGCGGUCUAAGGGGGUAGACCUGUGUUCGCACUCGUGGGUUCAAAUCCCACCGCUGACA